AUGGAUUCCCUGUCCUCUUUUGCUAAGGUACAGGGAGACUUACCUAUUCAACAUGUAGAUAAAAGCAAGGGAGCCUUCCUGUUCCUUGCUGACUACUCUUGGAAUUCAAUGAUCUGUAAGUUUUUCCCAUUACUGUACUCAGGGGGGCCUCAAACAUUUGAGAUACAUCUUGUUCCUCCUAUAACAAUUAUUUACAUGCCCACUUUUAAUUGAUCCCUCAUUCACAUCUAAUGUUUAUCUAGAAUAUAGUUGUUUCAGCUGCAGAAAUCCAGAUUUUAGCUCUGUUGUCUGAGCAUUCUGCUAAAAUUAUCCUACCAAAUAGACAAAAAAACAAAACUUUAUGAACCAAGAAAAGGUCCUCUAACAAGUUGUGUCAUAUGUUACUCAUUGAGGAAUAUUGCAAAAACACUACUUCUCACCAUAUUUGUAAAUCAAAAACACAUGAGUGUAACCUGUACUACCAUAGGGAAAAUUGCUCUGUUGGAAGGUUUGGCCCCUGACUUUUGAAAUAUGAACCCAUCAGGGGAAUUUCAACUUAAGCUGGAUUCAGCUCAUUAUUCUCUUGCCCCUCAUGUGCCAUUAGAGAAGCUGAUUUUAGAAAAUUAAUCCAUACAUAUUAAGCAGCACACUGGACACCAAAUAGCAUCAUGGAGAUAGCACUAGUGACCUGGGUUCUUGUCCCAGCAUUGCCAUUUGCUGACUGAGUGAUUAUAGGUUAGUAACUCUUACUUUCUCUGAGUCUACAUGUCUGCCCUUGUGAAAAGAGAAUGAUGAUAAUCCCAGGCUCUGUGAGAAUCUAGUCAAAGUAGGAUGGCUGGGGUUUGGGGAAAUGGGGAGAUAUUGGUAAAGGGGUACAAAGUUUCAGUGAUGCAGGAUGAAUAAAUUCUAGAGACAAUAUAUAGCAUGGUGGCUCUAGUUAAUAAUACCAUAUUGUACACUUGAGAUUUGCUAAGAAGAUAGAUCUUAAGUAUUCUCACCACAUGUGCACACACACACACACACACACACACACAAUGGUAGCUGUGUGAGGUGAUGGAUAUGUUCAUUAGCAUUAUUGUAGAGGUUAUUUUACAAUGUUUAUGUAUAUCAAAAUAUCAAGCUGUACACUGUAAACAUAUACAAUUGUUAGUUGUCAACUAUACCUCAAUAAAGCUAGAAAAAUUAUAUGAAAAUGACUUUAAACUCUAAGUAUAAAAGGCAAUAGAUUUUUGUUAUUGUCACCUAUAUUAUAAACUCUAUUCAGUAACCAAAGCAUAGCACUUUUUAAAAAGAUAAUUAAAGAUCAUUUGCUUUCAUGUCAAUUAAAAAAUGCUUAAGAGACUUACAAUAGCCAUAAAGACUUUUAUAACUCCUCUAUAAAACCCUUCACAUUCACUAUUUGGCAUGAAUCAAUAUGGUUAUCUACCUGUCAAUUUUUCUUAUUCUUGAACACAGAAUGUGAGCAGUCUGUUUUAUGACUGACUCAGAAUGUACUAAGCUAAUCGAUAUAUCCAGUGAUAACAGGAUGAUUUGGAACACACGGAACAAAAGCUUAUCACUUUACUGCAUACUGAAUCUGUCAAAAUAUUUUCCUAGAAGUAAUGUGAAAAUAGAAGUUCUCCAUCUUUCAUUAUGUUAGUGGGUGGUGACAAAAGUAUUAGCAGGCUAUUUCCUGAGUUUACAGUUUGGUGUUUUCCAGUGAAAUGCAGCCUAUAAUUGUUUUAUUAUUUUUUUUCUUUAAAAAAAAUGAGUUGAAAUAUACUAAUAAUCCAGGAGGAAUUGGCAUCCAACCCCAAAAGAAGAUCCAAUUCUUGUUUGCCUGUAUUGACACAGUCUUCAAAAUCUCCCAAGUGUUCUGAAGGAUGGUAGUGAGCGGCAGGCAGGCAGGCCUCACACCCUCCAUGUCAUUCUGAGGCACAUGCUCUUAGAGGGUAGGUGGGAGGGAGGCAAUGGCUGAAGGAAAUUUACAAACAAGGUGGCCUUCACCUUAACCACAAAGGAGAAGCAUAUCCUAAGAGAUGUACGGCUAGAAGAAACCUCACAGAUGAGCUAAUCUAAACACCCCCAAUAACAAGAGGCCUACACUGGUAAAAUCACUCAAGUUCACCAAGCAAGUCCAGGCUAGAAUAGGAACCACAACUCAGCAAACCUCAUUCAAACUAUACUUUGUGAUACACCACACAUUCAUCCCCAUAAUACUUACUUCCAGUUAGCUCACAAAGAAUUAAUACAAGUACUAAUAAAUCAUGAUGUUUUAUCAUUAUUAGUGAUGAUUUAAAUUGGCAUAGUAUAAAAAUUAAAGGUUUUUUUCAUAUUAAGAAUAAAUCAAUCUUUCCAACUGGAAAAAAAAUGUUCAAAGUGACAAGGGAUUUACAAGCACAGAACUCCAAGAUCAUUGCAUUGAACCAAAUCAUUGAAAUUAAUUUUAAAAAAAUGGAAUGUUGAAAUAGCUAACUUGGUUCUGGGAUGCUAAUGGUGGAGUCAGUUACAUACAGCCUUAGAAAAGAAAUAUAUAUAUAUAUGCUAAAGAAGAGGACUUGAGGAAAUGAGAAGGAAAAAAAAAGAGAGUUAGGUAUUUACAUAAUCUUUAGGAAGCCAAAGUUGACCUCUCUUCCUGAGUUUGGCUAGAGAGAAUGAAGGGAGAUGGGCUAACAGAGGACAAGGGAGAAGAGUGGUUUAGACCAACCAUUUCAGCACGACUUUAGAGCCUCCAGAAAGCAUGUGAGGAAACCGAUGCCCACAGAACAAGAAAUGUGAUGUGCUUUCAGGUAAUGGAAUAGAGAACACAGUAGCUCAGAAAUAACUGCUCAAGUCGGUGACAGUGACUGGCCUGAGUUCCUAGGUCAGCC
ensembl:lncRNA